AUGGCCGGGGGCUCCCUGCGCCUCCUCUGCCGAGGCUCCGGGUUCAGUUUCGGGAGCUUUGGAAUGUUCUGGAUCCGCCAGUGGCCCGGGCAGGGGCUGGAAUACGUCGCCAGUAUCAACCCUGGUGGCAGCACCGAAUACGCGCCCUCGGUGCGGGGCCAGGUCAGAAUCUCGAGGGACAUCGGGCAGAGCUCGGUGACGCUGACCAUGAACAGCCUCAAGGACGAGGAUUCCGGCUCCUAUUUCUGUGCCAAAAACGCUUAUGAUGGUUGGGGUUGGGAGGCUCAUGCUGCUGGUUCUAACUUUGACCCCAUGCCCAUCGCUCUGUCCCCACCUGUCCCCAUUCCCCAGGUGCUUCCCUCCAACCCUUGGCCCCAUUGUUGA